rnacentral:rRNA from 1 species
UACGUAGGUGGCAAGCGUUGUCCGGAUUUACUGGGCGUAAAGAGCGCGCAGGCGGUCGUUCAAGUCGCGUGUGAAAGCCCCCGGCUCAACUGGGGAGGGUCACGCGAUACUGAUCGACUCGAAGGCAGGAGAGGGAAGUGGAAUUCCCGGUGUAGUGGUGAAAUGCGUAGAUAUCGGGAGGAACACCAGUGGCGAAGGCGACUUCCUGGCCUGUAACUGACGCUGAGGCGCGAAAGCGUGGGGAGCAAACAGG